AUGGCCCCCGACGUUCCCGUGCCCCCGUCGGAGGAGGUCGACCAAGGCCCGCCAGUGACGGAGAGGCGGGAGGACCCCGUGAUCUUCGUGGAGGGGGCGUCGCAGACGGCGCCGACUGGAGCGGGCCAAAGCGGCCAAUCAGCUGCGACGCCAGAGCAGCCGUCCAGGGGCGAGCCGGUGGCAGGGGCCGGCCUCGAGGUGCAGCAGGCAUUGCGCCGGCACGCAGGGGGUGGUGCCUCCGUGCCGGAACCGCACCGAGCAGCGGGCGCCAGCCAGACGGCGGAGGCCCUGGAGACGGCCAGCGUCAGCACGUCCGAGUGGACUCCCAGCGGGGGGACGGGCGAGCUGAACACGGUGGCCCAGGAGGUCCGGAACCGGCUUCAAGCUCAGGCCGCCUUGCUGCAGCGAUACACUCAAGAGUUUCUCUCGACGCGGGCCGUCAUCCGGGAGUAUCACAACCUCCGUGCAGCUGCCUUCAACUCCCAGGCUCAGGAGCUGGGCAGGAGAACCGAGGACCUGACCAGCAGCCGGAGAGCCAAUGCCGACUUGAGGGAGCAGCUCAGCAGGGCGCAGGCUGCCCUUCGUGCCAAGGAAACUGAGUACGACGCCUUGGUCCUGGAGCGUGACCGCCUGGCCAAGAAGCUGGCUGACCAGGAGGAGAGCCACAAGGCGGCCCUGAAGAAGGCGCAGGAUAACGAAACCGCCCUGAAGGCCGAGUUCGAGACCGAAGCGGCGGGCUGGGAUGAAACCAGGCAAGCGCUGAAUGAAGGCUUCAGCCAUAUUGAGGAUUUGAUCGAUGACUACUUUCCCGGCUACUCCGUCUUCGCUACCCAAACCAUCGAGGCCCAUCGCGAAGCAUGCCGUCAGGCGGGGGCCGACAUCGCGUCGGACGCGAGUCGGACGCUUGAGGAGCAACUCUUGGCAGUCCAAGCGCGGCUGCAGCCGGCUCAUCGUAUGCUCUGCCGCCUCCAGCGCGUCGGGGCGCAGGUGUUGGCCGCCCUCUGGCCAAGCGAGACGAUUCCCCGCCCCAAGUCGGACUGCCGACUGGCUGGAAGUUGCGGUUGGCCGCUUCGAGGCUUGGAAAGCAUCAGCGGCCCGGCUUGGAGCUGGGCGGGCGUUGGAGUUCGUCCGAGCUUGGUAUCCGGGGCUGAACCUGGACCAGCUGCGCACCUGGCGGCUGGAGGCCGACGAAGAGCUGGAGGAGGUGCGGCCGGCUAUCGCUCAGCGCGCUUCGAUGAUCGCCGAGUGUACUGA
rnacentral:rRNA from 1 species